rnacentral:rRNA from 1 species
GACGAACGCUGGCGGCGUGCCUAAUACAUGCAAGUCGAACGAGAGCGUCCGGUGCUUGCUCUGGUCAAUCUAGUGGCGAACGGGUGAGUAACACGUGGGUAACCUGCCCAUCAGAGGGGGAUAACAUCCGGAAACGGAUGCUAAAACCGCAUAGGUCUUCGAACCGCAUGGUUUGAAGAGGAAAAGAGGCGCAAGCUUCUGCUGAUGGAUGGACCCGCGGUGCAUUAGCUAGUUGGUGAGGUAACGGCUCACCAAGGCCGUGAUGCAUAGCCGACCUGAGAGGGUGAUCGGCCAAAUUGGGACUGAGACACGGCCCAAACUCCUACGGGAGGCAGCAGUAGGGAAUCUUCCGCAAUGGACGCAAGUCUGACGGAGCAACGCCGCGUGAGUGAAGAAGGUUUUCGGAUCGUAAAACUCUGUUGUUAGAGAAGAACAAGUGCUAGAGUAACUGUUAGCGCCUUGACGGUAGCUAACCAGAAAGCCACGGCUAACUACGUG